AAAAAAGCUUGUGGGCUUUGCCCACUGUCUCUUACCCAUGUCUUUUGAGUACUUACGUUUCCUCGGUGGGCUCGCCCGCCGGUUGGACAAUUUAAACCAUUUGCAGUUGCAAUCAGCGUCUGAAAAACAUAAUAGUUACAACUUUCAACAACGGAUCUCUUGGUUCUGGCAUCGAUGAAGAACGCAGCGAAAUGCGAUAAGUAGUGUGAAUUGCAGAAUUCAGUGAAUCAUCGAAUCUUUGAACGCACAUUGCGCCCCUUGGUAUUCCAUGGGGCAUGCCUGUUCGAGCGUCAUUUGUACCUUCAAGCUCUGCUUGGUGUUGGGUGUUUGUCUCGCCUUGCGCGUAGACUCGCCUUAAAACAAUUGGCAGCCGGCGUAUUGAUUUCGGAGCGCAGUACAUCUCGCGCUUUGCACUCAUAACGACGACGUCCAAAAGUACUUUUUACACUCUUGACCUCGGAUCAGGUAGGGAUACCCGCUGAACUUAAGCAUAUCAAUAAGCCGGAGGAAG
rnacentral:rRNA from 1 species